rnacentral:hammerhead_ribozyme from 1 species
AUCCAGCUGACGAGUCUGAAAUGAGACGAAACGCGCGUCCUAGAU